UACGGGGGGAGCAAGCGUUGUUCGGAUUUACUGGGCAUAAAGGGCGCGUAGGCGGUCAGCACAAGUCAGUUGUGAAAUCUCCGGGCUUAACUCGGAAAGGUCAACUGAUACUGUGCGACUAGAGUGCGGAAGGGGCAACUGGAAUUCUCGGUGUAGCGGUGAAAUGCGUAGAUAUCGAGAGGAACACCUGCGGCGAAGGCGGGUUGCUGGGCUGAUACUGACGCUGAGGCGCGAAAGCCAGGGGAGCGAACGGG
rnacentral:rRNA from 1 species